AGCUGACUACCCAGAUGAGCUGCAGUGCCUGGAAGCUCCUGUGCUGACCCAGGCUAAGUGUGAAGCCUCCUACUCUGGAAGGAUUACCAGCAACAUGUUCUGUGUCGGCUUCCUUGAGGGAGGCAAGGAUUCUUGCCAGGGUGACUCUGGUGGCCCCGUGGUCUGCAACGGAGAGCUCCAAGGCAUUGUCUCCUGGGGCGAUGGCUGUGCCCAGAAGAACAAGCCUGGAGUCUACACCAAGGUCUACAACUAUUUGACCUGGAUUAAGAACACCAUGGCUUCCAACAGCUAAAGCCCCGGGUCCCUCUGCAGUCUCUAUACUAAUAAAAUGACCCUGUUCUCACUG